AUAAUAUUACUAUAUCUCUCUAGGUUAGUGUCUGCAUCUUACACAAUUAAGAUUGGCCAAAAUCUUUGAAAUACCUCUAAGAGAUUACAUUUGGACAUAAAAAUUCAUAAAGCAAAACUUUUAGAAAUGUGAGGUGCAUAUGAAAUAAUCUUAAACAUGUUAAAGAGUUUUAUAUAGCUUUCUUAGCCCUUAUAGACAAAAUAUAUAAAGUUAAUUUAGAGAAUUUAAAUAUCAUAUUAGUACAUUUUAUUUAAUAUAUGGGCAUAUCUUGGAGAUAUUGAGGGUUUGGUUCCAGACUGCUGCAAUAAAGCAAGUCAUACACAGUUUUUUCGGUUUCCUAGUGCAUAUAAAAGUUAUGUUUACACUAUACUGUAGUAUAUUUGGUGUGCAGUAACAUUGUCUAUAAAAACAAUGGACAUACUUUAAUUAAAAUGCUACCAAUCAUCUGAGCUUUCAGCAAGAAGUUGUGAUUUUUUUUGCUGGUGGAGAGUCUUUCCUUGAUGUUGAUGGCUGCUGACUGAUUAGAGUGAUUAGGGCUUAGUCCUUACCAGACUCAAAGCAUGGACUCUAUUUUUGCUCAGAUUAAGAAUUAAAAUACUGAAAAUGUAUCAGUAACUUUUAUUGGACAGAAAGAGGCACUAUGUCAUUUAAAAGGAAACAAAUCAUAUAAAACUAAAAUAAUUUCAAAAACUUCAGUCUGAUGUUCAUGGUUUCUUCCAUAAGGCACAUACAUUGAAACAGAUUCACCCUGAAUCUGUUUUAUUCUAAGCAAUGGAAGUGUCUUUUGCUUAAGACCGUGGGUGUUUCCACCUAAAACAUUGGGAAGAUCGCAUUAUCAAUCAAUCAAGCCUAGAGGGAAUUUUCAGCCCAGACAAAUCUAGAAGGAGGUCCUCACAGUGGCACUAUCAUAACGCCCUGCUAAGUAGAGGGGACUACAGGCAUGUGCCACCACACCUGCUAUAAACAGAUGUGCUGUCAUCCAGGAUUUGUUGUUCCAUACAUAGAGCACAGGCAAAGUAGAUUUAUUAUAAUUUUAUGGGCUCUGGGAUUUUCAGAAUGGUAAAUGAGUAUGAGCCUGAUGAGUGGAACACUGAGAACAUUUACAUUUAUCAGUUCAGUUCAAUAGUGACAUCAAAGAUCCCUGAUCACAGAUCAUCAUAACAGAUAUAAUAAUUAAAAAGUUUGAAAUGUUACAAUAAUUACCAAAAUGUGACACAGAGACAUGAAGUAAGCAAGCACAUACUGUUAGAUAUAUUACAAACACUGUUUUAAGCAGAUAAGAGUGGUACUUCUGGGAAGAUUGUGUUGUACUUGUCAUAGGAGAACCUCUACAAGGUUGGUUCAAAUGGCAAAUUCUGGAGCUGUAAUUUUCCAAUUUAGGACUGGACACCGGGGGAUGUCUACAGUAAAGUGUCACUGGCCCACAAGAAACUAAACAAAGUGGCUUUUUCAUAAAGUGAAAUUUACUCAGUUUCAAGGACCACAUCUUAUUAUGCAAACCUUCAGCGUGUCAGUGUAAUUCUUAAUAACACCGUAUUCUGUGAGGUCUGCAUGAGUUCAUUUCACUGAACUGAUUAAACGAACCAAAACAUUUACUUCAUAUUGUUUUUUAUCCGUCAGAUAAUCCAGAUAGUUAGAGUUGUGUUAACAUUAAUAUAUUGCCUUUUUAUCUUUUUUUCUUCAAAGACAUACACACAAACUCACACUCACAUGUAGCUUUUGAGGAUUAAUUACAAGGUAUGUCAGGUCAAGCAAUUGCAAAGGUACACUGUGGGGUGAUGAAACAUACCUUGCACAUUAUUUUCUGUGCUUUUUCCCACAUUCAAAUCCUUCUUCUGUCAA
rnacentral:lncRNA from 1 species